rnacentral:misc_RNA from 1 species
GGUGCAUAUGGUUCAAAUUCGUAAGAACAUUCAGAUUUUGGACAGGGAUGGUAAUGAUUUCAGAAAGGAUAAGAAAUUAGCUUCUAGAGCAGUGUCUGUGAUGCUUUUUCUAAUGGCUCAAACUCCUUUGGAAUACCGUAUACCAGGAACACCUUGGAAUAACCCCGAAAUUGAUAUUGCAGGAGCAAAAUAAAAGUUAUUGUACUGUUAUCAUCUAGCG